CCACAAUUUCUUAAUCCAGUCUGAGAUAGAAUACUUUCAGUAGUGCUUUGAGUUUGUUUUUCAAGUAAACCUCUUCCCAUGCCAUGCGUCCUAUUGUAAUGAUUGCUAAUGAUUCUAACAUUGCUGUAACCAUAUUUUACCAUAAUUAACAUUGUAGAUAUUUGCCUGCCCAAUUAGCUGGAGGCUCCUUGAUGGCAGAGACUGCCUCCUUGGUAUCCCCAGCACACAGCACAGAACCUGGCACAUACCUUCAGCCUUGGGAACUUCUGUGUGUUUAUUGCACAUUCAUGAAGGUUACAGUAAAUAAUACUCAACAACCCCGAGAGCACAUCACAGUAUGGAGAAAACAUAAGAUCAAAGAAGCAUGCAACACUGAGCUAUCACACGGAGAACACCUGUCUG
rnacentral:lncRNA from 1 species